rnacentral:pre_miRNA from 1 species
AAGGUACUCCCUCUGUUUGGAAUUACUUGUCACAAAAAUGGAUGUAUGUACAACUAAAAUACAUCUAGAUACAUUCAUUUCUUGGACGAGUAAUUCCGAACGGAGGGAGUACGUA